rnacentral:rRNA from 1 species
AUUGAACGCUGGCGGCGUGCCUAACACAUGCAAGUCGAGCGGUAACAGGUGUAGCAAUACAUGCUGACGAGCGGCGAACGGGUGAGUAAUGCUUCGGAAUCUACCCAAUGGUGGGGAACAACCAGCCGAAAGGUUGGCUAAUACCGCAUACGUCCCACGGGAGAAAGCAGGGGAUCGCAAGACCUUGCGCCAAUGGAUGAGCCGAAGUCGGAUUAGCUAGUUGGAGGGUAACGGCCUACCAAGGCGACGAUCCGUAGCUGGUCUGAGAGGACGACCAGCCACACUGGGACUGAGACACGGCCCAGACUCCUACGGGAGGCAGCAGUGGGGAAUAUUGGACAAUGGGGGAAACCCUGAUCCAGCGACGCCGCGUGUGUGAAGAAGGCCUGC